UACGUAGGUGGCAAGCGUUGUCCGGAAUUAUUGGGCGUAAAGCGCGCGCAGGCGGUCUUUUAAGUCUGAUGUGAAAUCUUGCGGCUCAACCGUAAGCGGUCAUUGGAAACUGGAGGACUUGAGUACAGAAGAGGAAAGCGGAAUUCCACGUGUAGCGGUGAAAUGCGUAGAUAUGUGGAGGAACACCAGUGGCGAAGGCGGCUUUCUGGUCUGUAACUGACGCUGAGGCGCGAAAGCGUGGGGAGCGAACAGG
rnacentral:rRNA from 1 species